rnacentral:lncRNA from 1 species
CUCAAAAACGUCUCAGAAGUUCAUUUUCACAAACCAAUAUCAAACAUGCACCACAGCGGAACUAGGCCUUAAUGGGUAGGAGGUGGGUAAUGGCCUUGAUUGUAUGCAGGCGGGGGAUAACCUCCAGCUGGAUAGCCUUGACCUUGGGGUGGUGGGUAGCCCUGACCCUGAGGUGGUGGAUAGCCUUGAGGAGGAUAACCAUAUGCUUGUUGUUGAGGUGGAUAUCCAACCGUCGCAGGAUAUGGCUGAUCAAUGCGAGACAUCUGUUGAUGUGGGGGUACCGCCAUUGGUUGUGGACCAAAUUUACCAUCCCUUUUAUCCAUUUCAACCUUGUGCUGUGUCUGCAGACAAUUCAAAUAAACUGUG